GUGAGGAAUUUUCCGCAAUGGGCGAAAGCCUGACGGAGCAAUGCCGCGUGAAGGAUGAAGGCCUAUGGGUUGUAAACUUCUUUUCUCAGAAAAGAAUUAUGACGGUAUCUGAGGAAUAAGCAUCGGCUAACUCUGUGCCAGCAGCCGCGGUAAGACAGAGGAUGCAAGCGUUAUCCGGAAUGAAUGGGCGUAAAGCGUCUGUAGGUUGUUUAAAAAGUAUUCUGUCAAAGAUUAGGGCUUAACCCUAGAUAGACAGAAUAAACUUUUAAGCUAGAGUUUGGUAGAGGCAGAGGGAAUUACCGGUGGAGCGGUGAAAUGCGUAGAUAUCGGGAGGAACACCAAAGGCGAAGGCACUCUGCUGGGCCAAUACUAACACUGAGAGACGAAAGCGAGGGGAGCAAAUGGGAUUAGAAACCCCAGUAGUCC
rnacentral:rRNA from 1 species